rnacentral:misc_RNA from 1 species
UCAAGGAAUGGAGUUUUGCCAACUUACAUAUAUAGAGAAGAUUCAAAGAAAUUAAUAGUGGAUAUCAGAACUAUUCUUUGAUGAUCAAAGAAAUGAUGUAUUGAUCCUAUUUGUCCCACAACUUCAAUUUGUGUUCUUUCAACAGAAUCUAACACUAAAUUAUUUCAAUCUUUAUCAAGUGUCAAAGAAAAACUCGUAAAAGAUGCAAACUGAACCAUAAAGAGCAAAUCCCAAACAUGCAGUUGUCGAGUUAGACACAACAACCCAACUUACUUGAACUUGCACAUUAAUCUUCUUCUUCCUUUGGAAAGCGGAAGUGCUUCCCUUUGGAUGUUGGCAGACCCUUCAAGUGCAAAACACUUGGUGAUGAACCAGGAGCUGCUAUUACUUCUUCUUCAACAAUUUCAUCAUCACUGUUGUACCUAAAUCUUGUAUGCUUUCCUGUGAAUUUAGCAGGCGCUGUUUUACUCUCGCUCACGCUUACCUUGCCAAUACCUUCGCACAGCGCAUCAAUAGACCCUCCAUCAUCACCCUCUUCAUAAUCGUAAGGAUCAUAAUCUUCUUCUUCUUCAAUUUCUUGUUCCUCCUCAUCUUCAUCAUGGGUGGUUGCAUUAACAUGAAUGGACCAGUUAGAGGAACUGUCAUCAUCUGUUGUGGAUGACUUGUCUACUUUGCAAGUGGUCACCACGGAGGAGCAUUCUGAUGAUGAGUUAGUGAUUUCAGAUUUUUCAGAGAAGUCGAGCAUUAAAGACCUUGUUAUACUCUUUUGAGAUUCAAGGCCCUCUUCCUGCUUCUCAUCAAAGAUAUCAUUCACCACCUGAAAAAUCUGCAAUUGUUCUUGAACUACUGGCAAAGGAGUGUUACUAAUACAUCGAUCAUCUUCAGAAAGAUUAGGUACUUGUGGUGUAUUAGCAGGAGUUGGAGCAAGAAGUCCCAUUGGAGAA